rnacentral:rRNA from 1 species
AUUGAACGCUGGCGGCAUGCCUUACACAUGCAAGUCGAACGGCAGCGCGGACUUCGGUCUGGCGGCGAGUGGCGAACGGGUGAGUAAUACAUCGGAACGUACCCUGUUGUGGGGGAUAACUAGUCGAAAGAUUAGCUAAUACCGCAUACGACCUGAGGGUGAAAGUGGGGGAUCGCAAGGCCUCACGCAGCAGGAGCGGCCGAUGUCUGAUUAGCUAGUUGGUGGGGUAAAGGCCCACCAAGGCGACGAUCAGUAGCUGGUCUGAGAGGACGAUCAGCCACACUGGGACUGAGACACGGCCCAGACUCCUACGGGAGGCAGCAGUGGGGAAUUUUGGACAAUGGAGGCAACCCUGAUCCAGCAAUGCCGCGUGUGUGAAGAAGGCCUUCGGGUUGUAAAGCACUUUUGUCCGGAAAGAAAUCGCGCUGGUUAAUACCUGGCGUGGAUGACGGUACCGGAAGAAUAAGCACCGGCUAACUACGUG